rnacentral:rRNA from 1 species
AGAGUUUGAUCCUGGCUCAGAACGAACGCUGGCGGCAGGCCUAACACAUGCAAGUCGAGCGCCCUCGCAAGAGGGAGCGGCGGACGGGUGAGUAACGCGUGGGAAUUUUCCUCAAGGUACGGAACAACUCAGGGAAACUUGGGCUAAUACCGUAUGAUGUCUAGCGACCAAAGAUUUAUCGCCUUGGGAUAAGCCCGCGUCAGAUUAGGUAGUUGGUGGGGUAACGGCCUACCAAGCCUGCGAUCUGUAGCUGGUCUGAGAGGACGAUCAGCCACACUGGGAUUGAGACACGGCCCAGACUCCUACGGGAGGCAGCAGUGGGGAAUCUUGCGCAAUGGGCGAAAGCCUGACGCAGCCAUGCCGCGUGAAUGAUGAAGGUCUUAGGAUUGUAAAGUUCUUUCGCUCGUGACGAUGAUGACGGUAACGAGAGAA